rnacentral:pre_miRNA from 1 species
UUCUUACUCCCUUCGUUCGGAAAUACUUGUCGCAGAAAUGGAUGUAUUUAGAUGUAUUUUAAUUUUAGAUACAUUCAUUUUUGAGACAAGUAAUUUCGAACGGAAGGAGUACAAU